rnacentral:rRNA from 2 species
GGGGGAUAACAUUUGGAAACAGAUGCUAAUACCGCAUAGAUCCAAGAACCGCAUGGUUCUUGGCUGAAAGAUGGCGUAAGCUAUCGCUUUUGGAUGGACCCGCGGCGUAUUAGCUAGUUGGUGAGGUAAUGGCUCACCAAGGCGAUGAUACGUAGCCGAACUGAGAGGUUGAUCGGCCACAUUGGGACUGAGACACGGCCCAAACUCCUACGGGAGGCAGCAGUAGGGAAUCUUCCACAAUGGACGCAAGUCUGAUGGAGCAACGCCGCGUGAGUGAAGAAGGCUUUCGGGUCGUAAAACUCUGUUGUUGGAGAAGAAUGGUCGGCAGAGUAACUGUUGUCGGCGUGACGGUAUCCAACCAGAAAGCCACGGCUAACUACGUGCCAGCAGCCGCGGUAAUACGUAGGUGGCAAGCGUUAUCCGGAUUUAUUGGGCGUAAAGCGAGCGCAGGCGGUUUUUUAAGUCUGAUGUGAAAGCCCUCGGCUUAACCGAGGAAGCGCAUCGGAAACUGGGAAACUUGAGUGCAGAAGAGGACAGUGGAACUCCAUGUGUAGCGGUGAAAUGCGUAGAUAUAUGGAAGAACACCAGUGGCGAAGGCGGCUGUCUGGUCUGUAACUGACGCUGAGGCUCGAAAGCAUGGGUAGCGAACAGGAUUAGAUACCCUGGUAGUCCAUGCCGUAAACGAUGAAUGCUAGGUGUUGGAGGGUUUCCGCUCUUCAGUGCCGCAGCUAACGCAUUAAGCAUUCCGCCUGGGGAGUACGACCGCAAGGUUGAAACUCAAAGGAAUUGACGGGGGCCCGCACAAGCGGUGGAGCAUGUGGUUUAAUUCGAAGCAACGCGAAGAACCUUACCAGGUCUUGACAUCUUUUGAUCACCUGAGAGAUCAGGUUUCCCCUUCGGGGGCAAAAUGACAGGUGGUGCAUGGUUGUCGUCAGCUCGUGUCGUGAGAUGUUGGGUUAAGUCCCGCAACGAGCGCAACCCUUAUGACUAGUUGCCAGCAUUUAGUUGGGCACUCUAGUAAGACUGCCGGUGACAAACCGGAGGAAGGUGGGGAUGACGUCAAAUCAUCAUGCCCCUUAUGACCUGGGCUACACACGUGCUACAAUGGAUGGUACAACGAGUUGCGAGACCGCGAGGUCAAGCUAAUCUCUUAAAGCCAUUCUCAGUUCGGACUGUAGGCUGCAACUCGCCUACACGAAGUCGGAAUCGCUAGUAAUCGCGGAUCAGCACGCCGCGGUGAAUACGUUCCCGGGCCUUGUACACACC